AUUAUAGAAUAUGUGCCUACUAACAUCUAAAAUGUUCUUAUUCUUUUUCUCCAAUCUUUUUAUGUUGAUGAGAUGCUCAACUCUCAAUUUUUUCACCUGGAAAUUGUGGUAGGCAAACACAGUCCCAAAUUUUAACUGAAGUAUUUCCAUUCAGGAAGUCCCUUUUUGUGCCUGGAUCUGUUUCUUUAUGUGCAUUCAUGCAUGUUUAUUCCUAACCUCAAAGCAAAUGAACUUUUCAUUAGUGUACAUACAUCCUUACACCUGGUAUCUUUUACACCUUGUCUCAUAUUGAAUACGUCUCUUUUUAUAUGAACCUGAAUGUGAUAUUUGCAUAUUCUGUAAUGCUGAUUUUUUUUUUCCUGUAAUGCUAUUUCUCUACGUGCAUUCAUGUCAUGUUUAUUCCUGGCCUUAAAGCAAAUGAACUUUUCAUUAGCGUACAUACAUCUUUACACCUGGUAUCCUUUACACCUUGUCUCAUAUUGAACACAUCUCUUUUUAUAUGAACUCGAAUGUGAUGUUUGCGUAUUCUGUAAUGCUGAUUUUUUUUUUUUCCUGUAAUGCUGUUUCUCUACGUGCAUUCAUGUCAUGUUUAUUCCUGACCUUAAAGCAAAUGAACUUUUCAUUAGUGUACAUGCAUCCUUACACCUGGUAUCCUUUACACCUUGUCUCGUAUUAAACACGUAUCUUUUUAUAUGAACCCAAAUGUGGUGUUUUUGCAUAUUCUUUAAUGCUGAUUUUCUUUUUUUUUUUCCCUGUAAUGCUGUUUCUUUAUGUCAUUCAUGCAUGUUUAUUCCUGACCUUAAAGCAAAUGAACUAUUCAUUAGCGUACUUACAUCCUUACACCUGGUAUCCUUUACAUCUUGUCUCGUAUUGAACACAUCUCUUUUUGUAUGAACUCAAGUGUGGCGUUUGCAUAUUCUGUGAUGCUGAUUUUUUCCCUGUAGUAAAAGCAAUCAGAAAUAGACUGAUUGUUCAGAAUUUCACAGG
rnacentral:lncRNA from 1 species